GAUCCUCUUCUAGAUUAUAAGUCAUAUAUUCUGGUCCAUAAUCUAUAGCAACUCUUACUCUGUUACUACUUCGAGUUUCUGUUUCGUCUUUUUUUUUGCUUUCAAUGCUUCUUUUCACAUGAACUUAAUUAAGUUCGCUGCCCCCACUAUUUCUCAGGAACUUGACUAGGUUCGCUGCCCCCACUAUUUCUCGAUUUAAAAAGGGAUUUAUUUUCAUAGAAGUCAACUUCAUUUGACUUUAUGAUCACUUUUGCGUUUAGG
rnacentral:lncRNA from 1 species